rnacentral:rRNA from 1 species
GACGAAUGCUGGCUGCGUGCUUAACACAUGCAAGUCGAACGGUGAAAGGGAGCUUGCUCCCUGGAUCAGUGGCGAACAGGUGAGUAACACGUGGCAACCUGCCCCUCACUCUGGGAUAACUCCGGGAAACCGGGGCUAAUACCGGAUACGACCUGGUGCGACAUCGCACCGGGUGGAAAGAACUUCGGUGAGGGAUGGGCCCGCGGCCUAUCAGCUUGUUGGUGGGGUAACGGCCCACCAAGGCGACGACGGGUAGCCGGCCUGAGAGGGCGACCGGCCACACUGGGACUGAGACACGGCCCAGACUCCUACGGGAGGCAGCAGUGGGGAAUAUUGCGCAAUGGGCGAAAGCCUGACGCAGCGACGCAGCGUGAGGGACGAAGGCCUUCGGGUUGUAAACCUCUUUCAGCGGGGACGAAGCGAAAGUGACGGUACCCGCAGAAGAAGCACCGGCUAACUACGUGCCAGCAGCCGCCGUAAAAC